UACGUAGGGUGCAAGCGUUAAUCGGAAUUACUGGGCGUAAAGCGUGCGCAGGCGGUUAUGUAAGUCAGUUGUGAAAUCCCCGGGCUCAACCUGGGAACUGCAUCUGUGACUGCAUAGCUAGAGUACGGUAGAGGGGGAUGGAAUUCCGCGUGUAGCAGUGAAAUGCGUAGAGAUCGGAAAGAACACCAACGGCGAAAGCACUCUGCUGGGCCGACACUGACACUGAGAGACGAAAGCUAGGGGAGCGAAUGGG
rnacentral:rRNA from 1 species